UAGGGAAUCUUCGGCAAUGGGGGGAACCCUGACCGAGCAACGCCGCGUGAGUGAAGAAGGUUUUCGGAUCGUAAAGCUCUGUUGUUAAGGAAGAACGAGUGUGAGAAUGGAAAGUUCAUACUGUGACGGUACUUAACCAGAAAGGGACGGCUAACUACGUGCCAGCAGCCGCGGUAAUACGUAGGUCCCGAGCGUUGUCCGGAUUUAUUGGGCGUAAAGCGAGAGCAGGCGGUUAGAUAAGUCUGAAGUUAAAGGCAGUGGCUCAACCAUUGUAGGCUUUGGAAACUGUUUAACUUGAGUGCAGAAGGGGAGAGUGGAAUUCCAUGUGUAGCGGUGAAAUGCGUAGAUAUAUGGAGGAACACCGGUGGCGAAAGCGGCUCUCUGGUCUGUAACUGACGCUGAGGUUCGAAAGCGUGGGUAGCAAACAGG
rnacentral:rRNA from 1 species